rnacentral:misc_RNA from 1 species
GAUGAAGAACGUAGCGAAAUGCGAUAAGUAGUGUGAAUUGCAGAAUUCAGUGAAUCAUCGAAUCUUUGAACGCACAUUGCGCCCCUUGGUAUCCCGAGGGGCAUGCCUGUUCGAGCGUCAUUUCACCACUCAAGCCUCGCUUGGUGUUGGGCGACGUCCUCUUUGGGGACGCGCCUCGAAACGCUCGGCGGCGUGGCACCGGCUUUAAGCGUAGCAGAAUCUUUCGCUUUGGAAGUCGGGGCCCCGUCUGCCGGAAGACCUGCUCGCAAAGUUGACCUCGGAUCAGGCAGGGAUACCCGCUGAACUUAAGCAUAUCAAUAAGCGGAGGA